GAUGAAGAACGCAGCGAAACGCGAUAAGUAAUGUGAAUUGCAGAAUUCAGUGAAUCAUCGAAUCUUUGAACGCACAUUGCGCCCCCUGGUAUUCCGGGGGGCAUGCCUGUUCGAGCGUCAUUUCACCACUCAAGCCUCGCUUGGUAUUGGGCAACGCGGUCCGCCGCGUGCCUCAAAUCGACCGGCUGGGUCUUCUGUCCCCUAAGCGUUGUGGAAACUUUCGCUAAAGGGUGUUCGGGAGGCUACGCCGUAAAACAACCCCAUUUCUAAGGUUGACCUCGGAUCAGGUAGGGAUACCCGCUGAACUUAAGCAUAUCAAUAAGCGGAGGA
rnacentral:misc_RNA from 1 species